AUUGAACGCUGGCGGUAUGCUUAACACAUGCAAGUCGAACGGUAACAGGCCUUCGGGCGCUGACGAGUGGCGGACGGGUGAGUAACGCGUAGGAAUCUGCCUCAUAGUGGGGGACAACGUGGGGAAACUCACGCUAAUACCGCAUACGCCCUACGGGGGAAAGCGGGGGACCUUCGGGCCUCGCGCUAUGAGAUGAGCCUAAGUCGGAUUAGCUAGUUGGUGGGGUAAAGGCCUACCAAGGCGACGAUCUGUAGCGGGUCUGAGAGGAUGAUCCGCCACACUGGGACUGAGACACGGUCCAGACUCCUACGGGAGGCAG
rnacentral:rRNA from 1 species